rnacentral:rRNA from 1 species
GAGUUUGAUCUUGGCUCGGGACGAACGCUGGCGGCGUGCCUAACACAUGCAAGUUGAGCGGAGAUAUGGAGAGCUUGCUCUUUAUAUUUUAGCAGCGAACGGGUGAGUAACACGUAGAUAAUUUGUCCUAUAUUGGGGGAUAGGCCGAUGAAAAUUGGAUUAAUACCGCAUACAGCUAUUUAACCGCAUGGGGAGAUAGUGAAAGGGGAAACUUGAUAUAGGAGGAGUCUGCGGCACAUUAGCUAGUAGGUGAGGUAAGAGCUUACCUAGGCGACGAUCAGUAGCCGACCUGAGAGGGUGACCGGCCACAUUGGGACUGAGACACGGCCCAAACUCCUACGGGAGGCAGCAGUGGGGAAUAUUGCACAAUGGGGGGAAACCCUGAUGCAG